AUAACCUUUAAGACAGUCCCGUGAGGCUGAGAAGGAACAAGAUACGUUAUAUUUGGAUACGUGUAUUCAAAUCCCUUUUCUCGCGCGGAGAAAAGGGUUUUUUUAU
rfam:Amphibacillus xylanus NBRC 15112 DNA, complete genome.